AAAUUAAUUAAAAGCUUGUGCUAAAUAAACUCCGUCGGUGCCGUCUGCCUCGUCAGUCAUUAAUCAACGUUUAGCACAUGCAUCCACUUGCCCUGAGCCUGGUCUUCGCCUAGGACACGCCUGACUGCCGCCUGCCAGUUUCUCAGGAUGCCAGGUUGUGAGUGGAUUGGUCCUGGCCUAAGUCGAAACUGAUGAGCCCAGCUUCGGGAGCAUUAUGAAUACAUUACCAUUAAGGAGGAGAAAAUCGAUUGAAAAGACAUAAACAGGAAUCGAAAG